rnacentral:piRNA from 1 species
UGUGUCUAGGGACUGACUAGA